UAAAAAGAUAAGGCUCGGGAAAUCAGUAGGUGGCGCUGUCCCAUGUAAUAAGCGGCAGGAGACAACGGCUGCCGCUAAGGAAUAAGGAGAAUCAGGUGUCAGAUCGUUCGUAAAGGAGGAGCUGUGGGAGCCCGGAGAGUUUCCUCCCCCUCCGCAUAGAAACAUAUAGGCAGAUCCUAUCCUAUGCAGUAAGAGCUGGGGCUGAGGCAAAGCUGUCAGGUGUCAUUGGCGGUGGGAUCCGGGUGAUGUGCCUGUGAGAGCAGAGGCUUCCGCGCAUCACCUCGCAUUGUUGUCCUGCCGCUUUGUUUCAUUCAUAGACAGGGAGCCACACGCGCUGCCAAAGUGAGUCCCUUACCGCCAGCUGCCCGGAACCAGUGGAGGAGCUCCGGGCAGCCUCUCAUGAUGUGCCUCGAGAGUGACGAAGUGGGCACGGGGGUCGGCGACCAGGGCUGCAUUCCAGGAGCGGAGGAGCGGGGCUUGGAGACUCUGCCGGGAAGGAUGAACCCCAAUAGCCUGGAUGUGAAAGCCGUGGAGCUGGAGAGUGAGAGCAGUAAGCCGGACAAGGAAUACAACUGGAAGCGGAGCAGUGUGACAGCGGCUGGCAUCCUCAGCGUGGGCAACGUGCUCAAUUACCUGGAUAGAUAUACAGUGGCAGGAGUUUUACUGGACAUACAGCAGCACUUUGGAGUCAAGGAUAGUGGAGCUGGACUUCUACAGACUGUCUUCAUCUGUAGCUUCAUGGUGGCAGCACCGAUUUUUGGUUAUUUAGGAGAUCGUUUCAACAGAAAAGUGAUUCUCAGUAGUGGAAUAUUUUUCUGGUCAGCUAUCACCUUCUCAAGUUCCUUCAUUCCAAAAAAGUAUUUCUGGCUCCUCGUCCUUUCUCGGGGCUUAGUUGGUAUCGGAGAGGCAAGUUACUCCACCAUUGCUCCCACCAUCAUUGGGGACCUUUUUACGAAGAACACACGUACUCUUAUGCUUUCUGUUUUCUACUUCGCCAUCCCACUUGGAAGUGGCCUUGGUUACAUCACUGGAUCAAGCGUUAAGCAAGUUGCAGGGGACUGGCGCUGGGCCUUAAGGGUUUCCCCGGUGUUGGGCGUGAUAACUGGUAUACUGUUGUUAAUAUUUGUGCCCACAGCAAAGCGAGGCCAUGCUGAGCAGCUAAAGGGGAGCUCCUGGAUCCGAGACAUGAGGGGACUGAUAAAGAAUCGCAGCUACGUCUUCUCAUCGCUGGCAACAUCCACUGUAUCGUUUGCAACGGGUGCUUUGGGCAUGUGGAUACCUCUGUAUCUGUAUAGAGCUCAGGUGGUCCAGAAAACAGUGGAACCAUGUAGCAUUCCACCCUGCAGCACCAAGGACAGUUUGAUAUUUGGAGCGAUCACUUGUCUAACAGGCUUUCUAGGUGUAAUCAUUGGAGCAGGAGCAACUAAAUGGUGUAGACGGAAAACUCAGCGUGCAGACCCACUUGUCUGUGCUGUUGGCAUGCUAGGAUCUGCCAUCUUUAUCUGCCUGGUCUUUGUUGCUGCUAAAACUAGCAUCAUAGCUGCCUAUAUCUGUAUAUUUGCGGGAGAAACUCUUCUGUUCUCUAACUGGGCCAUAACAGCUGAUAUGUUAAUGUAUGUGGUCAUACCAACACGGAGAGCAACAGCUGUGGCUUUACAGAGUUUUACAUCUCAUCUUCUAGGAGAUGCUGGUAGUCCAUACUUGAUUGGAUUUAUCUCAGACCUUAUCCAGCAGAGCACCACCAAGUCUCCUCUAUGGGAGUUCCUUAGCCUUGGCUACGCACUUAUGCUCUGCCCCUUUGUUGUUGUCCUUGGGGGAAUGUUCUUUCUGGCCACAGCCCUUUUCUUCCUGGAGGACCGAGAAAAAGCAGAAAAACUAGAGCCGUGCUCAGAUCCCUUCACUGUUGGCAACUGUAGUGACUCAGAAGAAGCUUCCAUCUUGUAGCCUUUUUUAGGGUGAGUCAACUCAUGAUGCCAUCGACUGCUGUAAAGGUCUGAUAAGAACAACCCGAGUAUAGGAGGAAAAUCUGGCAGCUCCUGGGAUACCUCACCUACAGCUUGAUGGCUUCUAUUUUUGGAAUUUUGAUGAAGAAAACAACUGAAAGAAAUUGAAGGCUCACCCAUUCCACAGACCCUUCAUUAUAAUCCAAUCAAUGAACUAAAUUGUUACUGAAAGGUAAAAAUUGCCCAUAUUCACAGUUUAUGAAGAAUUGAGACUAUGCAAAGUAACUCCGGACAUGUGAAGUAUUUUUCUGAAGCGACCACCUCCUCUGCCUAGUGAAUUUGUUUCCAGAAGGUAAAGUGGAUGCACUGAAUCUUCAUCAUUCCAACGUAUGCCUAUAGGACUGUGUACAUCACACUGUGAUCAAUGGGGCACAAAUCAACAACAGCCAUUGCUCUGUGCAGAGAUGUCAACCAUGUGGGUAAUACCAGGGAGUGGCCACUUGUUGCAGAAUUACAGAUCUUGUAUUCCCAUAAGGAGGAUACUGGGAGCUGUAGAUAGAGUUAAGGCAACAUAUCCCUAAGAGCAACAUUUAUUACAUAUUGUUUAGGAAUACUUUGUUUAGAUGAAGACAACAGAUGUAUGUAUACUAGCUGUAUAUACUUUUUUUUUUUUUUACAAACCUGUAUAUAAAUACAUAGAGAUAUAUGUAUAUAUAUUUUACACAUGCCAAAAUUUUAUUUAAACCUUGAGCAGUUCCAAAGGCUCGCGUUUCUACUACCAACAGAUAUUAAUGGAUAUUUAUUCUCUAAAGUCUGAAUUGCAACAGCUUUAAUAUUUAAUUAUUCAGCAAAAGCUAAAAAAGUGAAUGUGCUAACUAACGUUUCUUUUUGUUUACAUACUGCGUUAAAAAUGCGUGAUGAUGUUUCUUCUUCUUCUUCGUUUCAUGCGUCUGCUGGAAGAAAUGGAUUAGAUUUUUAGCCAGUCUAUGGUUUACAGUUUUUUAUGUAAUACAAAGUUGACAGAUAUCAGCAGUGUAUUAAUAUGGUGACAGUGUUGGAUAGCAGAGGAGCUUCAAUGUAUUGCAAAGAACCAUACAAGGUCAGAGAUCUGGUCUUUAAUAUAUUUUAAAAAACAAAAAAGCAAUACUGGUGGGGAGUGCAGACUUCCAGAAUCACCAACCUGAUGUGGCUUUGGAGUGGCAGUAAACCCCACUCUAAAUAUUUGCAGCCAUUUCCAGCCUGUUUUUGCAGGGCAGCAAUCUAUAAUGUUAAUACGUUUCUAAAAUUUUGUCUUUCCCCUGGCCAGGGAAUUAGGAGUUUUAUGUUCUCUUAUGAUCUCAAUGUUGUAUGAAGAGUUAGAACUCCUAUGGUUUAUUUGUCAUUUGCAGCAGUGAGCUACAGCUAUCUGACCAGGGGUUGGUCCUUUCCUGACUUGAUUUCAGUGGAGGCCAUGGAACAAAAGAGGUAAAUCAACCCAAACAAAACCAGCAUAGUGGCCUCCUGAAGUUCAUCAGCAUACUAAAUAGCCACAAUCUUGCCUUAAGUUACUAAAAUAUGGAACCAAAAUUAAAUGAUUGGACAAAAUAUUUACAGAUAUUAAUAUGAAAUAAAUGGUUUCAAAUUUUUUAUUCUAUCAGAGUUCUUAAAAUACUUUUAGGUUCUGCAUCUUUCUUCCCCAUCUCCCAUAAUUUAUCUACAGUAAAUAGCUUACCUUUACAGCCAACAUUGCAUUAGUCUUUCUUGCUGGCUUGGAAGUAGGAAUGCUAAAUAUUUGAGGUCUGUGCAGAAGUUUAUUCACUUUUAUGCUUAUAGUGACCAAGGUCUGUAGACACCUGCUAUGCACACUGUAUCAGAACAGACCAGCCCAUUGUUACUUGUAGUCUUGCAGCCUUACUAUUCAUUGUGCACAGAGCUGGAUAUUGUAGGUUUCAAGCGCAUUGUGCCUUAUUUCACAGGUUUCAGGCACAAGUAAAUUACACCUCUUAACGGCUAAAGCCUUUGGCAGCCCAUGGUAGGCAUGUGCCCCCUUACCAUCAUAAACUAAGGGAUUUCCCUUGAAGUAUAGGGAGCUGACAAAGGACUUGCAUUCAGUGUUUGGCUAAUAGUAGUCUAUGGUUCAGAAUUACAGGGCAGUGGGAGAUGACUGGAUAGAUAAUGUAGUCAUUUUUUACUUAGAAGUUAAGCCUCUGUGCCAGAAGUCCAAAACAACUCGAAAAACUGCAUUCUCGCAAAGCUCUAAAAAUAGGGCCCCUUUAUGUUUUUUAUCUCUUAAAAAAGAAAAUAAUCUCUUAAAACUGCAGUCAAAUAUUAUUACAGAACAAUAUAACUUACCUAACUUAGUGGAAGAGUUUAUAUGCCGAGAACUUCCCACACCAGUCAGUUGAACUGAAGAAGCUGCUCGGAUGAGUAGUGAAACGUCUUCAUUGAUUACUCAGCAAGUCCAGUUGUUUUUAGAUUGACCUAUACUAGAUAUACUAUGACCUGGAUGAAUGAAAAUCUUCAUAGUCAUAAUAUAACUUACCUCAUAUAUUCUAUUAGCCUUGAUUAAUAGACCCACCAGAUCUACACCUAGUAACUUCAGUUUGUAAUGAUGAUCAUGAAAGUAAAUUCUCAGUUACCUCUAAAGGGAGGUAUUUUUUGGCAUUUUGUUGCCCUUAUGACAUUGCCUUUAGCCUUAUUAUUGCAGUAAGGCUAGCUUAGGGUUUACUGCCUAACACUUUUUCGAAAAGCGUUCCCCAAUUAUAUAAUUAAGAACUGGCCUUUUAAUGGCACUAUGACUUUGCAGCGAUGAAUUUGAUAUAAAUGUCUCAUGACUUGGGUUUAGAUAAUAACUGGGCUGGGGCAAUAUUUAAGCAGGGAUAUUUAAGCUGCAAUUCAAGGCAAUACACGCUGCGCUCCUUUGCAAUAUAUUGUUGUUUUCUCCAGGGAUCCAACAAGAAAAGGUUAUUUUAUUCCCUAAGGAAUGUAAAGCAAUUUAAAGGUAUGGAAUCAAAUACAAAGGGGAAUAACUAGUAAUCUUCAGCUGAAAAAUGCAAUUAAAGUUUUUGCUAAACCCGUUCCAGUGUGUGGGAGUGGUAGUUCACCAACACCUAGAGGACUGUAGGCUGGGGAUUUCUGAUGAAAUUCAAUCAUGAUCAUGUUUGAUGUCAAAACCAACCGAACAUAAUGGGAACAAAACAACGGUGCUCAGUGUGUGUGCUACAAAUACUUUAUGUACAUUGUUAUAUCUUUCGAGUUGACGUCAGCUGGAAUAUUUCAUAGAGUGUUCGAUCAUUACAGCUACAUACACAUGGGUGUCGUCUACUAGUGUUUGGUAUAAUAUAUGCUUUCAGGUUGUGCCUCAUUUGACUGCACUGAGGGUAUUUUUAUCAAAGAGUGAAGUUAGAGAUCACCACAGUCUGCUAGAGUGAAAUUCCGCCUCUCUCCAUUAAUUUCUAUUGGAUUUUUAAAGGCGUAUUUAGUAUAAAGUAUAAACUUUCACUUUCAACCAUUGAUAAACACUAUUUAAAAAAUCCCAUAGAAAUGAUUUCACUCUAGAGGACUGUGGUGAUCUCUAACUUCACUCUUUGAUAAAUAAGCCUAAGCCAGGCCUAGAAUGGCAGUCUGUAGAUUCUGGAAAAUGGCUGCCAUAGACAGUCGAUAUUUAUUGGGCUGGUGGGGGGCUGUUUGGGCCCCUGUGUACUUGAAUUGCCAGGGCCACUGGAUUCUCAGUCCUGGCCUGCUCCUAGUAGAGUGGCUUUACUUUAUAUGGGGAUAUUGUGAUUGCAGUGAAAACCUUUGAACACCUCUUUCAAAUGUGCAGGUGCAAUAUAUUUAUUAUAUUUACCAUGUGCUGGACCUCACCCCCUAUGAGUUCCUUGGGCACUCAAAUACCGCACACAAUAACCACAUACAGUAUGACAUGCACUCAUGUUUAUGUAGCUAUAGAAAAAUCAAAGCACAGCUAUGUCUCAAAACCUGUCUGGCAGACAGUGCCUGGGGGAAUACUGAACAUUAUAGCAACAUUUUUGUUUAACUCCUUCGCUAAAUCACAAUCUUUUACUGUCUGUCAUCUAGAAUAUCAUUUUGUACAAGCUUAUCCCGUAACAAAACAGAACAAAAAAAUUGUACUGAGUUAAAUGUGAUUUGUUAAACCUUUUGCUACGACUAAACCGUGGAAGGUGAUGCUGGUCCCUUUAUGUAACGACUGCGACACCGGCACUUACACGAAAUACCAAUUUUUUCUUGUUAUACAAGAACUAAAGUACAAUAGCUUUCUGAUUUGUUCAGGAAUAAAACAAAUAAAAGGACUAUAUUAUUUUUUAGAGAAAUUGUAAACCUCAGAGUAUAAGAAAAAAAGCCAAAUAUAUACAUUUAUGUAAAUGAUAUACAAAAUAAAACUAUUUAAAGCGAA